AUAAGCAUACGCACACACACACAUAUACAGCAAACACAUAUAGAGCAAAGAAUACAAAAAUGAUACAAAAUGUGUGUGUGUGUGUGUGUGUGUGUGUGUGUGUGUGU